GUGAGGAAUAUUGGUCAAUGGAUGAGAAUCUGAACCAGCCAAGUAGCGUGAAGGAUGACGGCCCUACGGGUUGUAAACUUCUUUUGAAAGGGAAUAAAGUGUGGUACGUGUACCAUAUUGUAUGUACCUUUGGAAUAAGCAUCGGCUAACUCCGUGCCAGCAGCCGCGGUAAUACGGAGGAUGCGAGCGUUAUCCGGAUUUAUUGGGUUUAAAGGGUGCGUAGGCGGACGUUUAAGUCAGUUGUGAAAGUUCGAGGCUCAACCUUGGAAUUGCAAUUGAUACUGAUCGUCUAGAGAUUACAUAAGGUAGGCGGAAUUCGUGGUGUAGCGGUGAAAUGCUUAGAUAUCACGAAGAACUCCAAUUGCGAAGGCAGCUUGCCGGGGUAUAUCUGACGCUGAGGCACGAAAGUAUGGUUAUCAAACAGGAUUAGAUACCCGUGUAGUCC
rnacentral:rRNA from 1 species